rnacentral:lncRNA from 1 species
AAAAUUUGAAUCUUUAUUUUCUAUCUCUGUGUGCCAUAGGCAAUUUUAUGCAGUUUUCCCAUAUGUUUUUUUUGCUUUAUGCCAAAGUUUUUUGGUUGAGGAAAGAGAUUUUUUAACUUCCUAACAUGUUUUCAGUGUUUAAAUAGCUUUUACAUGGAAGAAGCACACUUGUAAAACAAUUGUCUGCUUGUUGAAUUUCAGAAUCCACGUUGACCCAUAUUGAAAGCAUGGAUGGUGAAAGAGAAACCCUAGAGGAGCCUAUAGAAAAGGAGGGAUCUUUGGUUGGGGAUGGGAAGGACCUAAAGGUGGGGGUUUUGGGUUCUGAUUUGUGCAUAGAAGGUGUUGUUUGCACUCGUGAGCGUGAUGCUGAGCUGAAUGGUGAUGUGGGUUUUGAUGGAUCAAAAGAGGAGGGUAAAGGUGUGGAUCCUUCAGGUGGAGAAGCUGCUGAGGCUCUUGGUGAGGAUUCUCAAGUUUUGAGAUCCUUAGAAAGUAAGAGCGUGAAUGAGAUUGCUGAGUUAGAUGGAAAUGAAGCUACCUUGAAAACAUUGGAUGAGCAGAAGAACAUUGAUGACAAGGAGGUCAAUAAGUUAGUGGAGAAAGAAGCAAUUAGUGAUGUUAUUCAGGCUGAGCCAGAUGUUACGCAAAGCAUUAAAGAACAUGCUGGGGAUCUUGGUGAAGGUUCUCAAGUUGUGAGGUCCUUAGAAGGUAAGAGUGAGAAUGAGACUGCUGAGUUGGAUGGAAAUGAUGUCACCUUGAAAACAUUGGAUGAGCAGAAGAACAUUGAUAUUCAGGUUGAGUCGGAUAUUAGUCAAAGCAUUGAAGGGCAAGCUGGCAUUGCUGAGCAGGUUGGUUCACAAGGAGAGCAGG